rnacentral:rRNA from 1 species
ACGGGGGGAGCAAGCGUUGUUCGGAAUCACUGGGCGUAAAGGGCGUGUAGGCGGUCAGGUAAGUGGAAUGUGAAAUCCCUCGGCUCACCCGAGGACCUGCAUCCCAAACUGCCUGGCUUGAGUAUGGGAGAGGAUGAGGGAAUUCCUGGUGUAGCGGUGAAAUGCGUAGAUAUCGGGAGGAACACCUGUGGCGAAAGCGGCUCACUGGACCAUUACUGACGCUGAGGCUCGAAAGCUAGGGGAGCAAACAGGA